UACGUAGGGUGCGAGCGUUGUCCGGAAUUACUGGGCGUAAAGAGCGCGCAGGCGGUCGUUCAAGUCGAGUGUGAAAGCCCCCGGCUCAACUGGGGAGGGUCACUCGAUACUGAUCGACUUGAAGGCAGGAGAGGGAAGCGGAAUUCCCGGUGUAGUGGUGAAAUGCGUAGAUAUCGGGAGGAACACCAGUGGCGAAGGCGGCUUCCUGGCCUGUUCUUGACGCUGAGGCGCGAAAGCUAGGGGAGCAAACGGG
rnacentral:rRNA from 1 species